UCCAGUAUGGUGUAUCGGUAACAUCGCUCGCUUUCAAAUGAAGGACACCGAGCAGCGCGGGGUUCGAUUCCCCGUACUGGAG